CCACCAGCUCCGGGACCCCCCCGAGGCCCCACCCCCCACACCAGGGACCUCGGGGGGACCUUGGGGGCUCCAGGACCUUGGGGUCCUCCCCCACCUUGGGGGCCUCCAGGUUGGGGACCCCCAGGAGAUGCCACCUCGGGGACCUCGGGGACAAGAACUUUGGGGUCCACCAGCUUGAGGACCCCUGAGGCCACCACCUUGGGGACCUUGGGGACCUUGGGGUCACCAGCUCCAGGACCUUGGGGUCCACAGUCUUGGGGUCCUCCAGGUUGGGGACCCUCAGGAGAUGCCACCUUGGGGACCUCAGGGACCUUGGGGACUUUGGGGACCUUGGGGACAUGAGCUCUGGGACCUUGGAGUCCAUGGUCUUGGGGUCCUCCAGGUUGGGGACCCCCAGGAACUGCCACCUUGGGCACCUUGGGGACCUCGGGGACCUUGGGGACAGGGGUUCCAGGACCUUGGGGUCCUCCAGGUUGGGGACGUUGGGGACAUUGGGGCCAAGAACCUUGGGGCCCCCCAGCUGCAGGACCCAUGAAGCCACCACCUCGGGGACCUUGGGGACCUUGGGUUCCUCCAGCUUGAGGACCCCCAGGAGACGUCACCUUGGGGACCUUGGGGACAUGAGCUCCAGGUCCUUGGUGUCACCACCUCGGGGACCUUGGGGACAUGGUCUUUGGGACCUUGGAAUCCACGGUCUUGGGGUCCUCCAGCUUGGGGACCCCAGAGGCCACCACCUUGAGGACCUUGGGGACAUGGUCUUUGGGACCUUGGAGUCCACGGUCUUGGGGACCUUGGGGUCCUCCAGCUUGGGGACCUUGGGGACAUCGGGGCCAAGAACUUUGGGGUCCUCCAGCUCCUGGACCCCUGAGGCCACCACCCUGGGGACACCAGGGACAUGAUGAGCUCCAGGACCUUGGUGUCACCACCUCGGGGACCUCGGGGACAUGGUCUUGGGGACCUUGGAAUCCACCGUCUUGGGUUCCUCCAGGUUGGGGACCCCCAGGAGACGUCGUUUUGGGGCCACCAGGGUCAUGAGCUCCAGGCCCUUGGUGUCACCACCCUGAGGACCUCGGGGACCUUGAGGACACCAGCUCCAGGACCCCUCCCCCCCCGAUUUUUUUGGGGGGGGGUUUCUCUACGUCACCCCAACCCCCCCC
rnacentral:lncRNA from 1 species